rnacentral:rRNA from 1 species
ACACAUGCAGUCGAACGCAACUUCGGGUGAGUGGCGGACGGGUGAGUAACGCGUGAGAUCUGCCUUGGGGUCGGGGACACCACUGGAAACGGUGGCUAAUACCGGAUAAGCCUUUGGGUAAAAAAUUUAUUGCCCCAAGAGGAGCUCGCGUCUGAUUAGCUAGUUGGUGAGGUAAAAGCUCACCAAGGCAGCGAUCAGUAGCUGGUCUGAGAGGACGAUCAGCCACACUGGGACUGAGACACGGCCCAGACUCCUACGGGAGGCAGCAGUGGGGAAUUUUCCGCAAUGGGCGAAAGCCUGACGGAGCAAGACCGCGUGAGGGAGGAAGGCUCUUGGGUUGUAAACCUCUUUUCUCAGGGAAGAAGCUCUGACGGCACCUGAGGAAUCAGCCUCGGCUAACUCCGUGCCAGCAGCCGCGGUAAUACGGAGGAGGCAAGCGUUAUCCGGAAUUAUUGGGCGUAAAGCGUCCGCAGGUGGCGAUUCAAGUCUGCUGUCAAAGCACGGGGCUUAACUCCGUUAAGGCAGUGGAAACUGAAUAGCUAGAGUGCCGUAGGGGUAGAGGGAAUUCCCGGUGUAGCGGUGAAAUGCGUAGAGAUCGGGAAGAACAUCGGUGGCGAAAGCGCUCUACUGGACGGCAACUGACACUCAGGGACGAAAGCUAGGGGAGCGAAUGGGAUUAGAUACCCCAGUAGUCCUAGCUGUAAACGAUGGAUACUAGGUGUAGCUUGUAUCGACCCGAGCUGUGCCGAAGCUAACGCGUUAAGUAUCCCGCCUGGGGAGUACGCACGCAAGUGUGAAACUCAAAGGAAUUGACGGGGGCCCGCACAAGCGGUGGAGUAUGUGGUUUAAUUCGAUGCAACGCGAAGAACACUUACCAGGGCUUGACUAUGUCCGGAGUCCCGGUGAAAGCUGGGAGUGCAUUCGGGAGCCGGAACA